rnacentral:rRNA from 1 species
UACGUAGGUGGCAAGCGUUGUCCGGAAUUAUUGGGCGUAAAGAGCUCGUAGGCGGUUGUCGCGCCUGCCGUGAAAACCCGAGGCUUAACCUCGUGGCUUGCGGUGGAUACGGGCAGACUAGAGGUAGGUAGGGGAGAACGGAAUUCCUGGUGUAGCGGUGAAAUGCGCAGAUAUCAGGAGGAACACCGGUGGCGAAGGCGGUUCUCUGGGCAUGACCUGACGCUGAGGAGCGAAAGUGUGGGGAGCGAACAGG